UACGGAGGGGGCUAGCGUUGUUCGGAAUUACUGGGCGUAAAGCGCACGUAGGCGGACUGUUAAGUCGGGGGUGAAAUCCUGGGGCUCAACCUCAGAAUUGCCUCCGAUACUGGCAGUCUCGAGUGCGGGAGAGGUGAGUGGAAUUCCCAGUGUAGAGGUGAAAUUCGUAGAUAUUGGGGAAGAACACCAGUGGCGAAGGCGGCUCACUGGCCCGUAACUGACGCUGAGGUGCGAAAGCGUGGGGAGCGAACAGG
rnacentral:rRNA from 1 species